rnacentral:rRNA from 1 species
GAUGAAUGCUGGCGGCGUGCCUAAUACAUGCAAGUCGAACGAACAGACGGGGAGCGUGUUCCUCUGAGGGUAGCGGGGGACGGGCGAGUAACGCAUGGAUCACCUACCUAUAAGACGGGGAUGAUAUCGGGGAACCAGUGCCGCUACUGGAGAAUAUAUCGAACCGCAGGAUGCAGUAGUGAUAGGCGGUUUUGCUGUUUCUUAGAGAUGGAUCCGUGCCGCAUUAGCUAGUUGGUAAGGUAACGGCCUACCAAGGCAACGAUGCGUAGCCGACCUGAGAGGAUGAUCAGCCACACUGGAACUGAGACACGGUCCAGACUCCUACGGGAGGCAGCAGUGGGGAAUAUUGCACAAUGGGCGCAAGCCUGAUGCAGCAAUGCCGCGUGAGUGAUGAAGGUCUUCGGGUCGUAAAACUCUUUUAUUAGGGAAGAAAAAAUGUGUGAUAAUCUCGGGCCGUCUUGACGGUACCUAAAGAGAAAGCCCCGGCUAACUACGUG